UUUACCUGUCACCUGUCAUCAAGAUAUUUUUUUCUAAGUUUUGCUUUGAUUAAGUUUAGAUCUUCCAUAACUUUCAGUGCAGUUUUAGUCCCCUUUAUCAGCAGUUGAACAUCAAGAAGCUUCCAUUCUUCAUUUCUAUUUACUGUUAAUGAGACUGCUUCUCCAAAUCCAUGGUUUAUGAUGGCAACAAAAGAAACCAGGGAACAUCAUUAUGUCUCCACUUCAGUUAAAAUUAAGAGUUAUGAUUAGUGAUAAAGUAUUUUGUUAUUUGUAAGUUUGUAUGAACCUAUGAAUUUAUAACAUUUAUACAUGAAAAAGAAGGAUGUCAUUUUGUUAUUUCUCAAUUUUUAGGAAAUAUAUGUUCAAUUAGGUAAAGUAUAGGCUCAUCUGCCAGGUGUUUUUGAUAUCUUUUAAUGCAAAAUAUGGUGUUAACAAUAAAAAUGGAAAAAUUGUGUCAUUAACUAAUAGAAAUAUACAACAUAGAAGACCAAACUUUUAACUUUUGAAAUGAAUGAAUCCUUUCUGAGGACAUGAAGAAAUUAUUAGAGAGAGACAGGGGCAGAUAUACAGAGAGAGAGAGAGAGAGAGAGAGAGAAGGGGGGAGGGGAGAGAAAGAGAGAGAGAGAGAGAGAGACAGAGAGAGAGAGAGAGUGAGAGAGGAGAAAUGAAAAACAUGAUUGUAAGGUAGACAGUUCCACAUGGAGCUCCUUGAUCUAAUUGACUGCUAGUUGAGUUUCUGUGAAUGUCUGUGGCUGUAGGGAGAUUAUUUUAAUUUUGCCAAUAUUUUUUUGGAUUUAUACUCUCAUCAUCAAUCAACCCCUCCUCUCCCUUCUCCCUUCAUUGUCUAUUUAAAUACAAAAGUCUUGAAGUCUGACCAAACUCAGUCCUUGAGUGAUGUAACACCAAUUGAAAUAGUGAGGUAUAUCUGUAUUAAAAGACAACUGUUGCUGUAACUGGUUUGUGUGCUUGAAUUUAUACUGUGUGUUUUUACAUGAAAUCUUUUUUGCUAACAUUUAUGUAUUAUGUAUGAGAUUUUUUGCUGUUAAAUGUAUGGUAUUUUUUAUGGCAAAUAUUUGUAAUAAACAGCAGCAUCUAGUUUAUAUUAGAAUACUUUACGGAUAUAAAUAUAACUUACCAUUUUUGUUGUUAUUUGUUUUGCAAGUGUAUACAUUUUACUGUUAUUUAUUUGGAUUUCACAUAGCCCAGUCAAAAUAGAUUCAGAGACUCAGUCUAAUAAUGAAGCCUCAGAAACUCCAAUAUUUUGCUCAAUGACAUGUUUCAGUGUUGCUCUCUAUUUUUUGCAAUGUACAAACAUUGCUAGUCAUUACAAACGCCAUUUUCAAUUUGCUAUAUUAGUAUAAUUCGUCUGAGGGUCAUACUAGUCACUGAAACAGAAGUCAUUGUUAGGUGCAGGACGGAAAAUUGUACUAAGUAAGCUGAGGUGCUGAUUUCCCACUGUAGAACAACAUUGUUUUGGAUUCAUUUUCAGUUAUGCAGGGUGUUUUACAACUCAUGUUACAAACUGCUAUAGGUUGUAUAUAGGACGUAGUAGAUCUAGUUUUACAUAAGAACCCAAUAAUACCACAGAGUGUCAAAGUUAUAGGUUCCAAUGCCUGUAAAUGUAUGUAUAUACAUGGUGAUCCUGUUUUGAUGUUACAAACUUUGUAGGAUGAUGGAGAAGAAUAAAUGUAUCAGGUUGAGAUAAGGGUCCCUGUACCAGAAACAAAUGAAAAGUUAUUAGUGAAAACUGUUCGGAUACCUCUGAGUGUGGAAUAUAUGUACAGGUAGUGUUGUUGCUAAGAUGUUUGGGCAGCAACUUUCAGAGUAUGGUCCAAAAAAAGAAAAAAAAUGUAUAAUAAAUGUGCCCAUCUUAGAAAGUUUGUAACAUUAUCAUAGAAUCACCCUGUAUAUACAUACAUUUACAGAUGUCAAAGCCUAUAACUUUGAUGCUCUGUAGCAUCAUACGGGCAUGGAUUCCUGUGUAAAACUUGAUGUGCUAAGUCCCCUGUGCAAACUCUAGAAGUGUGUAAGAUGAACUGUGAAACACCCUAUAUAUCUGAAGACAUCAAUGCAAUCUUUUGGUGAAAAUUUUGUUAGAUAUGCUGACAUAACAAGCACAUUUGUGCUUGUAGCUUAUCUCAUAAUUAGAAUUAAAAUAAAACAGAAUGUUCAUUACUUACUUCAGUGCCACUGCUGUGAACUGUUCAAGCUCCAGUGUACUAUCCUUAAACAGCUUUAAGCAAAGAUACCAGAGAGAUAAGAAAGUAACUGUAUGUAAAUAGAGUCUUAGGGCCUAAAACUUGUAGGUAAUAUUUUCAGAAGAAGGUCACUCCCAGUUGCGAUGUAUUCCACCUGAUGUUCUGUGUAAACAUUUAUUUUUAGAAUCUUGUGUCCUGUCGUAAGAUGAUCAAGUUGAGGUGUGGGAGUGAGUAGAGUGCUUGCUUGUGAAAAAAAUCGAUAAAGUGUUUGUGACUUUGACUAUAUGUUGUGAAUAUGUUCAAAUAUUAUGCCAAAUAUAUAUUAUGUAAUCUACUCUAUCAAUCUGGAAAUGAAAAAUUUACCUAU